AUGGCUUCCCAUGCUUUGACAAAACCUCGGAUGCAUGGCCUUCUGGCCGAGCAUCUGCAAUUUCAUAUUGUUGGAGUAUUCAUGGUAUCCCUGGAGCUUGCAGUUUUCUGUAAGUUUGCUGUGGCUGAACCAAGAAAGAAGGUGUACACAGAUUUUUACAGAAAUUAUGAUUCCAUGAAAGACUUUGAGGAGAUGAGGAAGGCUGGUAUUUUUUGGAGUGUGA
rnacentral:lncRNA from 1 species